UACGGAGGGUGCGAGCGUUGUCCGGAAUCACUGGGCGUAAAGGGCGCGUAGGUGGCGCUGCAAGUCAACGGUGAAAGCUCGACGCUUAACGUCGAGUCGGCCGUCGAAACUGCAGCGCUCGAGCACUGUAGAGGCUCAUGGAAUUCCGGGUGUAGCGGUGGAAUGCGUAGAGAUCCGGAGGAACACCAGUGGCGAAGGCGACACGCUGGGCCGUACCUGACACUGAUGCGCGACAGCAUGGGGAGCAAACAGG
rnacentral:rRNA from 1 species